GACGAACGCUGGCGGCGUGCUUAACACAUGCAAGUCGAACGAAAAGGCCCUGCUUUUGUGGGGUGCUCGAGUGGCGAACGGGUGAGUAACACGUGAGUAACCUGCCCUUGACUUUGGGAUAACUUCAGGAAACUGGGGCUAAUACCGGAUAGGAGCUCCUGCUGCAUGGUGGGGGUUGGAAAGUUUCGGCGGUUGGGGAUGGACUCGCGGCUUAUCAGCUUGUUGGUGGGGUAGUGGCUUACCAAGGCUUUGACGGGUAGCCGGCCUGAGAGGGUGACCGGCCACAUUGGGACUGAGAUACGGCCCAGACUCCUACGGGAGGCAGCAGUGGGGAAUAUUGCAUAAUGGGCGGAAGCCUGAUGCAGCAACGCCGCGUGCGGGAUGACGGCCUUCGGGUUGUAAACCGCUUUCGCCUGUGACGAAGCGUGAGUGACGGUAAUGGGUAAAGAAGCACCGGCUAACUACAUG
rnacentral:rRNA from 1 species